rnacentral:rRNA from 1 species
AGAGAAUAGAUACCCUGGUAGUCCAUGCUGUAAACGAUGAAGACUAGAUGUUGGAGGGUUAAAAACUCUUCAGUAUCGAAAGCAAACGCGAUAAGUCUUCCGCCUGGGGAGUACGGCCGCAAGGCUAAAACUCAAAGGAAUUGACGGGGGCCGGCACAAGCGGUGGAGCAUGUGGUUUAAUUCGAUGCAACGCGAAGAACCUUACCUACUCUUGACAUCCUAUGAAUCCUGAAGAGAUUUGGGAGUGCCGAAGGAACAUAGAGACAGGUGCUGCAUGGCUGUCGUCAGCUCGUGUCGUGAGAUGUUGGGUUUAAGUCCCGUAACGAGCGCAACCCUUAUCCUUAGUUGCCAACACGCAAAGGUGGGAACUCUAAGGAGACUGCCGGUGAU